rnacentral:ncRNA from 1 species
CAUAGCCCUGCAUGCUGAAUUGGGGCUUCUUAAGGGUCCAGAAAUUUAGUGGCCAAAUUUCCGGACCUGUGGGGAGCCGCCCCAGCCAGAUGACAUGGUGCCAUGGACCAGAGAUUGAGUAUCGCUGGUACACCCAAGGUAGAGAAGACAUUUGAAUGUUUACUGUAUCAACUUUCAAUGGUACUUUAUGUGCCUAAUAUGGUGACCACAGGUAACAGGGAAUCAGGGUUUGAUCCUGGAAAGGGAGCCUAAAAAAUAGCUAACCACAUCCAAGGAAGGCAGCAGGCAUGCAAAUGACCCAUGCCCGACCUAGGGAAGUAAUGA